UGUGAAGAUGCGGCCUACCCGCAGCAGGACAAAAAGACCCCGUGGAGCUUUACUGUAUCUUGGCAUUGAGUUUGGGUGUGAUCUGUGUAGCAUAGGUGGGAGGCUUUGAAGCUGGGGCGCUAGCCUCGGUGGAGCCAUCGGUGAAAUACCACCCUGAUUACAUUUAGACCCUAACCCCGCACCGUCAUCCGGGCGGGGGACCGUGCCAGGUGGGCAGUUUGACUGGGGCGGUCGCCUCCUAAAAGGUAACGGAGGCGCCCAAAGGUUCCCUCAGGGUGAAUGGAAACCACCCAAAGAGUGUAAAGGCAUAAGGGAGCUUGACUGCAAGACCAACGCGUCGAGCAGAGUCGAAAGACGGGCUUAGUGAUCCCACGGAUCCGAGUGGAAGGGCCGUGGCUACCGGAUAAAAGCUACCCCGGGGAUAACAGGCUGGUGAGAUCCAAGAGUUCACAUCGACGAUCUCGCUCGGCACCUCGAUGUCGGCUCAUCGCAUCCUGGGGCUGGACAAGGUCCCAAGGGUCGGGCUGUUCGCCCGUUAAAGCGGUACGCGAGCUGGGUUCAGACCGUCGUGAGACAGGUCGGUCUCUAUCCGCUGUGGGCGUAAGGGAUUUGAAGGGAGCUGCUCCUAGUACGAGAGGACCGGAGUGGACAGACCUCUGGUGUGCCAGUUGUCGUGCCAACGGCAUUGCUGGGUAGCUACGUCUGGCAAAGAUAACCGCUGAAAGCAUCUAAGUGGGAAACUUGCCCUAAGAUUAGAUACCUGUAUCCUUAAUGGAGUAAGACCGCAGGUAGACUACCUGCUUGAUAGGCGGUGUGUGUAAGCACAGUAAUGUGUUGAGCUAAACCGUACUAAUGGUCGAGGGCUUAUUUGC
rnacentral:rRNA from 1 species